GAUGCAGAUGCAGGGUACCAUCCCUGAUCACACUGCUGUUCAAGAUGAUAUCCCAGGAUUUAUAUCUCAGAACCAGUACCAAGAGGAGGCAGCCUGCACGCUUGAAUUCAUCCAGAGACGCUUUGUGGGUAUAAACCCAGAAAAAGAGACAAAGGCUGCAAAGGGUAAAAACAGAAGAACUGUCAAUUCACACGUCGACAACC